AACGAACGCUGGCGGCAGGCUUAACACAUGCAAGUCGAACGGUUGUAGCAAUACAGCGGUGGCAGACGGGUGAGUAACACGUGGGAACCUUCCUAGGGGUACGGAACAACUCAGGGAAACUUGAGCUAAUACCGUAUACGUCCGUGAGGAGAAAGAUUUAUCGCCCUUAGACGGGCCCGCGUCGGAUUAGCUAGUUGGUGGGGUAACGGCCUACCAAGGCGACGAUCCGUAGCUGAUCUUAGAGGAUAAUCAGCCACACUGGGACUGAGACACGGCCCAGACUCCUACGGGAGGCAGCAGUGGGGAAUCUUGGACAAUGGGCGCAAGCCUGAUCCAGCCAUGCCGCGUGAGUGAAGAAGGUCUUCGGAUUGUAAAGCUCUUUUGCCAGGGACGAUAAUGACGGUACCUGGAGAAUAAGCCCCGGCAAACUUCGUGCCAGCAGCCGCGGUAA
rnacentral:rRNA from 1 species